AAUAAUUAGAUUUCCCGGCAAUAGACCCAGCAACCCAAUUGCCAUUUUCUAACCAAUCCUGACUGCAUAUCCAUCCAUUGUCAGACCAUGCCUUGCCAUUCAGUAUCUUUCCACCCUUGCCAACCAGAUCCUUGAUAAUCCCAGAAUUAGACAUUCCCAAUCCAGGAGGUACAGGCAAGUCUAAAACUGGCCUCUUGGAAAUAUGGCCACAAUAAGAACACAUAAAUCUACCACCCCCAGGAUUCUGAUCCCUAUACGGUGUCAAGCAGUUUCUGCACCUCCUUGUAGCAGUCUUUCGAAGCUUCUGCAAUUCAAUAGCUUCAGACCUUUUUCUCUCCCUCAAUCGUGCAUUUCUACGCACACGCCAAGCAGACAGCUGAGGCAUUAAAAUUUCAUACCAAAAAAGAGUGACCAAAAGCACAAAAACACAAGCGAGCCUGGGUGAGGUGAUCUCAAAUCGAAAAGCAGGUGGCAGAAGCUGUGACAGAGCCCACAAUCCUAUAAGAGGAAUUACUAACCAAGGUAGCAUAGUAGCAACCCGGCGAGACCACUUCUGGAUCACACACAGUAUACACAUUAUCCUCUUAACCCACACCUAUCUUCCCCGUGUUGAAACCGAACAAAAAAAAAACCCUAGAAAUCGGAAUUCAAAAUUCCACCCCUCAAAACAAUGCUUCAAUUGAAAACCCUAAUUACUAACUUGCCGUCGGAUCGAAUAUGAAUCCAGAGCUAUUCCACAAAGCUUCAUGAACCAGAUUGCGAGUCCAUGGUGAUUGGUAUUUAUUGAAAUAUCGAAAAAAAUGAGAGCGAAAAGUAAUUAGGGCUGCGAGUCGGGUCCUGCGACGGAUUCUGGUUGAAGGCUGUGGGCGUGGCUCGUUCGUCCGUUCUUACCAGCGAAGAAACUGUGAG
rnacentral:misc_RNA from 1 species